AUUGAACGCUGGCGGCAGGCCUAACACAUGCAAGUCGAACGAGUGGCGGACGGGUGAGUAAUGUCUGGGAAACUGCCUGAUGGAGGGGGAUAACUACUGGAAACGGUAGCUAAUACCGCAUACCAUCGGAUGUGCCCAGAUGGGAUUAGCUUGUUGGUGGGGUAACGGCUCACCAAGGCGACGAUCCCUAGCUGGUCUGAGAGGAUGACCAGCCACUCUGGAACUGAGACACGGUCCAGACCCCUAGGGGAGGGAGCAGUGGGGAAUAUUGCACAAGGGGGGCAAGCCUGAUGCCGCCAUGCCGUGUGUAUGAAGAAGGCCUUCGGGUUGUAAAGUACUUUCAGCGGGGAGGCGUUACCCGCAGAAGAAGCACCGGCUAACUCCGUGCCAGCAGCCGCGUUAUUC
rnacentral:rRNA from 1 species